ensembl:lncRNA
GGUUUCCCAGACACUAUGGGUUGAGGAGGAAUUGGAAGUUUGUCGGCUUAGACCUGGUGUCAUUCCAUCAGUGUUAAACUUCCCGGCUCAUCCUGGAAGAGUACGUGCCAGAAAGACCACGACCAAGCAGCCUUGAGAUCUUAGGCAGCGUCUCCCUGAGGUCCCUCUCUAUCUCCCUACACAUCCACCAACCACUGGAACACAUCUCCAAAGUUCUGCCAGGCCAGCUCAGCUUCCCCUCAGAAGAAGUGCUGCCACCUGCCAGAUGAAGGAGCCUUUUGAGAGGCAGCUGGCAUCGUGAUUGGACUGUACUUUGGUCUGUUCCAAUCCAGCUUCAGCUCCAGAGACGGCAGGCGGGACGAGUCAACGGAGGCCGGGUGGACGAAGGCAUGCAGCUGAGUACAAUCCAGAAAACAACAGAGGAAGAGUGCAGCUGCCCAGGACCAGAACAGAGUAGCAUGACCAAAGAAGUACAGACUCUUCACAACCUGCUCAAACUCUUCGUACAAGACCUCACCACACGGGUCAAGAAGGUUUCCAUCUCAUUUCUACUCUGAAGCUCACCUUCUCCUGCUCAAACUGCUGACAAAUGUUUCUGCUGCUCUAAAGUCUGGUCUCCAGAACUUCCUAAAAACUCUCAAAGUCUCUUCUGCUGCAGGUUGCUUUGUAGAACUGUUCCAGAAAACCUCACUAAACCACAUGGAGGGGCCUCAAGAUAGUCGUCCAAAUGAAACCAUACAAAAACCAAACUAGCACAACCUAAACGCUAAAGUCUCCUGCAGCCUACCAGAGAACCUCUGAGAACAGAGAAUCAGGACAGGAACUCUUACCUUCUGGACAACCAAGAAUACAGAAUGUGUCUGACCAAAAACCUCUAAAGACUCACUACAGCCAAGAUAAGACACAACUCAGCUGCACCAAAUCCACUAAUCACUGCACACAUUAGCACCAUGUGCCAACUGUGGCUAAAGAACCACAUUUAC